CCUACGGGAGGCAGCAGUAGGGAAUAUUGCUCAAUGGGGGAACCCCUGAUGCAGCAACGCCGCGUGGAGGAUGAAGGUUUUCGGUUUGUAAACUUCUAUCGUCAGAGAAGAUAAUGACGGUUUCCUACGAAAAAGCACCGGCUAACUUCGUGCCAGCAGCCGCGGUAAUACGGAGGGUGCAAGCGUUACUCGGAAUUACCGGGCGUAAAGAGCGCGUAGGCGGGAUGGCAAGUCAGAAGUGAAAUCCUAUGGCUUAACCAUCGAACUGCAUUUGAAACUGUUAUUCUAGAGUAUGGGAGAGGUAAGUGGAAUUCUUGGUGUAGGGGUAAAAUCCGUAGAGAUCAGGAGGAAUACUCGUGGCGAAGGCGACCUACUGGAACGUAACUGACGCUGAUGCGCGAAAGCGUGGGGAGCAAACAGGAUUAGAUACCCUUGUAGUC
rnacentral:rRNA from 1 species